UGGGGACAAGGCAAGGCCACCCAGGGAGCCAGGUGACUCAGAACACUCCUGAGGGGCUGCUGCUCCACACAGAGUUGGGAGAACUCUGCUCAGGGCCAAGAUGGCUUCUGUGAGACCCAGAAGCCAUCCACGAGCCAACAGUUCUCAGAGGCUGUGGAGGAUCCGGGCAAAUGCAAGGAUGGAACAUCAGCACCAAACACUGAGAGGAUCUGGGGACGCCUUUUGGGACGGGAAGACUGGGGGGUAGGGUCCGGGAUCACACGGCCCUAAGGGAACAUGUUUUUAAAUGUAGGGAUUUGGUCUCAGGAAGGCUCAGCUGAGCCCCACCAGAGGCGAGCAGAGCCAGGCACAAGAGGGGCCGGCAGCGGGGAGAGUGGCCGAUGGAUCAUCACUCUUGGGUCUCUGGGGUGGAGCCCUGGGGCUAUUUCAACAGUGGAUGCUGUGACCAAGCCGGAGUUGACUGGUUUUUCUUUCUCUUGCCCUGGGAGACCCCAAGAGACAAAAUCUAGAGGAAUAUGUCAGAAAAAGUAAAAUGUGUGGGCGAGAAAGUAUUAAAAGGAGGGAAGGCACUGGAAUCCAACAAAAACGGCCAGCCCUCUGUGUGGUCAGGAAAAGGGAUGAAACCACCACCAGGAGCCGACACAGCACAAGUGCACGGGCUCAGCCUGGAGCCGCAGGCAGCAGCACAGCCAGGAUGCUCCCAGGGCACAGAGCCUCGCACGGGAAAUGAGGUUGCAGAAACAGCUGCCACGUCAGGCCGGAGUAUCCCAGAUGGAGGACACACAGUGUCCUGAGAAUCAACCGGGCAGAGCGGCUGCUCCCUGGCCCUUGGUUCAGGAACCUGCUCCAGGCAGGACACACGGACACUGGGCAGAGCUCAGCCCUGGGUGCCCAGAGGGAAACCGAAAAUUACGAGGUUUUGAACAUUCUGGAAGAAAGAAGAACGUCUGAGCCAAAUUUGGACUUUGAGACUGGCCCUGAUUUAGGAUGGAAAGGUUAGGGAGAGAAUUCUUGGUUUGGGAUCUAGUGUGCCCGUGGAGUUCAAUGACGCCUGGUUCUGGCCCAUCCCGAGGUGGCUGAGAGCACAGGCUCCGGACGCACAGGCUCAGCGGCCAUGGCUCACGGGCC